CGACCCGAAAACCCGAGAAGGCGAUCCGGCAAUAUCUCCACCUUCCGCUCGAUUCACGGCGACGAUCAGGCGGCAUUCUCUUUACCUCAACGGCGCAAAGCUCAACCAAACCUCCAAGAUAGCAAAACGAGGUCCGAAAGCUACGGAGGUUUCGAUGCAUUUUCCGGCAACUCCAGUCACCGACGAUAGCAACUGAGAACUUGUGAAGUGGAACACCAUCGGGGAAAAUGUAACUCUAUUUGCUGAAAUUGGGAAACAGAGAUUGGAAAGCUCAGAACUUGGUGCUUGAGAUCAGUUCCAAUACAACAGCAAAAUUUGAUAAGGGUUUGUCCUCGUGAUUCUCAAAAGAAGAGGUAGUGUUCUGGAAUUUCAUUUGGAUUUGCGCUAGUAGGAUUCUAUGGGACUGUGACCAUGGAAUUAUGUCUUAGGAUUAUAAUUGAUAAUCAUUCAGAGCGGCAUAUAUGUUACCUGGAACUUUGACAUAAAAUGUGUAUGGAAUUGUGGAGUUUAAGAAAUACUGAUUUAGAUGUUAGGAAUCUGAUUAUGGUUUCAGUCAAUUAGUCAAUUGUCGUGAGCUUUGUUUUGUAAAGAAGGGUAUUGAUAUUGGAAAUCCUUAAUUAUGCCAACAUAUGAAUAUCAUGCAUCUUAUAAUGGUGUUAAGGCCAUUGCUAAUUUGCUAUCUUGUG